AUUGAACGCUGGCGGCAGGCCUAACACAUGCAAGUCGAGCGGAUCGGCGGACGGGUGAGUAAUGCCUAGGAAUCUGCCUGGUAGUGGGGGAUAACGUCCGGAAACGGGCGCUAAUACCGCAUACUAUCAGAUGAGCCUAGGUCGGAUUAGCUAGUUGGUGGGGUAAAGGCCUACCAAGGCGACGAUCCGUAACUGGUUUGAGAGGACGACCAGCCACACUGGGACUGAGACACGGCCCAGACUCCUACGCGAGGCAGCAGUGGGGAAUUUGGGACAAUGGGGGAAACCCUGAUCCAGCCAUCCCGCGUGUGUGAAGAAGGCCUUCGGAUUGUAAAGCACUUUCAGCGGGGAGGCGUUACCCGCAGAAGAAGCACCGGCUAACUCCGUGCCAGCAGCCGCGGUAAUUC
rnacentral:rRNA from 1 species